rnacentral:lncRNA from 1 species
UCCAGUAAAUGAAAAUUAAUUUAGUAAUAGUAUAAAAAAGAUAUAUUAAAUUAAUAAAAUGAGAUAUUUAGUACCAUCAGACUUACUCUUAUAUGUGUUUCAUCUCUCGACCUUCUCUAUUUCUACGUUUAAUUUUCAGACUUUUUUCUACCUUUGUUAUUGUACAUGUACACUUUGACGAUAAAUAUAUACUACAAUCACUACAAAAAAAUUGACUUAUAGUAACAGCAAAAUGUCAUAGAUAAAGGGCACAAACCCGUUGCUAUAUCACAAAAAACCUAUUCCAACAUAAGUGUGUAGCCGUCACCUUUAAUUUUCUAUACCAACGGAUGUUUACUGUCACAAUUGCUUAUAUAGUGAUGGUUUUUCUAGCUGUUGGAAAAGACAUUGGUGGUAUACCCACGGCUUAUUCUUUUGGUCUAUAUAGUGAAGGUUCUCAGCCAUGGCAGAUCGGUGAGUGAGCGACGGUGCCGAUUGGUGAGAGAAAGAGAUCAAAAUUGUGUGUUUCUAAGAAGAGUGGAGCAAAAACAGGUUUGACUUA